rnacentral:rRNA from 1 species
GACGAACGCUGGCGGCGUGCUUAACACAUGCAAGUCGAACGGAAAGGCCCUGCUUUUGUGGGGUGCUCGAGUGGCGAACGGGUGAGUAACACGUGAGUAACCUGCCCUUGACUUUGGGAUAACUUCCGGAAACUGGGGCUAAUACCGGAUAGGAGCUCCUGCUGCAUGGUGGGGGUUGGAAAGCUUCGGCGGUUGGGGAUGGACUCGCGGCUUAUCAGCUUGUUGGUGGGGUAGUGGCUUACCAAGGCUUUGACGGGUAGCCGGCCUGAGAGGGUGACCGGCCACAUUGGGACUGAGAUACGGCCCAGACUCCUACGGGAGGCAGCAGUGUGGAAUAUUGCACAAUGGGCGGAAGCCUGAUGCAGCAACGCCGCGUGCGGGAUGACGGCCUUCGGGUUGUAAACCGCUUUCGCCUGUGACGAAGCGUGAGUGACGGUAAUGGGUAAGGAAGCACCGGCUAACUACGUG